GGUUUUCAGAGAUUUAUUGAAAAUCAGGCCUGCUCAGUGCGAGAGUGAACAGCCGCGGUAUUAUGACCGUGCUAAGGUAGCAUAAUCAUUAGUCUUUUAAUUUUAGACUGGUAUGAAUGGUUAGACUAAGUAAUUUUGUCUUGUGAUAAUAUUUCGAACUUUAUGUUUAAGUAAAAAAGCUAAAAUUUCUUUUAGGGACGAGAAGACCCUGUCAAGCUUUACAAAUAAGGUCAUUAUUCUUAAAAUGAUUAAAAUUUGUUUUACUGGGGCAGUAGAUAAUAAAAUUUUAUUUAUAUAUUGUAAAAGUAAAUUUUGUUAAAUCAGGAAAUUCCUAAGGAAAAAUAAGUUACUGCAGGGAUAACAGCGUAAUUCUUUUUAAGAGUUCUUAUCAUCAUUAGAGUUUGCGACCUCGAUGUUGGAUUAAAAUUCCUAAUUCACGCAAUAGUGAGAAAAGGAAGUCUGUUCGACUUUUAAAAUUUUCCA
rnacentral:rRNA from 1 species